CUCUUAAGGCUGAGACACGACGUCGAGCUACUACGGUAGUGAAGUCAUUGAUGCCAUGCUUCCAGGAAAAGCCUCUAAGCUUCAGAUUGUAAGGAAUCGUACCCCAAACCGACACAGGUGGUCGGGUAGAGAAUACCAAGGCGCUUGAGAGAACUCGGGUGAAGGAACUAGGCAAAAUGGUACCGUAACUUCGGGAGAAGGUACGCUCUUGAUGGUGAAGUCCCUUGCGGAUGGAGCUGACGAGAGUCGCAGAUACCAGGUGGCUGCAACUGUUUAUUAAAAACACAGCACUGUGCAAAAUCGUAAGAUGACGUAUACGGUGUGACGCCUGCCCGGUGCCGGAAGGUUAAUUGAUGGGGUUAGCGCAAGCGAAGCUCUUGAUCGAAGCCCCGGUAAACGGCGGCCGUAACUAUAACGGUCCUAAGGUAGCGAAAUUCCUUGUCGGGUAAGUUCCGACCUGCACGAAUGGCGUAAUGAUGGCCACGCUGUCUCCACCCGAGACUCAGUGAAAUUGAAAUCGCUGUGAAGAUGCAGUGUACCCGCGGCUAGACGGAAAGACCCCGUGAACCUUUACUACAGCUUGGCACUGAACAUUGAACCUACAUGUGUAGGAUAGGUGGGAGGCUUUGAAGACGUGACGCCAGUUGCGUUGGAGCCGUCCUUGAAAUACCACCCUUGUAUGUUUGAUGUUCUAACGUUGGCCCCUAAUCGGGGUUGCGGACAGUGCCUGGUGGGUAGUUUGACUGGGGCGGUCUCCUCCCAAAGAGUAACGGAGGAGCACGAAGGUGGGCUAAUCACGGUUGGACAUCGUGAGGUUAGUGCAAUGGCAUAAGCCCGCUUAACUGCGAGAAUGACGGUUCGAGCAGGUGCGAAAGCAGGUCAUAGUGAUCCGGUGGUUCUGAAUGGAAGGGCCAUCGCUCAACGGAUAAAAGGUACUCCGGGGAUAACAGGCUGAUACCGCCCAAGAGUUCAUAUCGACGGCGGUGUUUGGCACCUCGAUGUCGGCUCAUCACAUCCUGGGGCUGAAGUCGGUCCCAAGGGUAUGGCUGUUCGCCAUUUAAAGUGGUACGCGAGCUGGGUUUAGAACGUCGUGAGACAGUUCGGUCCCUAUCUGCCGUGGGCGUUGGAAGAUUGAAGGGGGCUGCUCCUAGUACGAGAGGACCGGAGUGGACGAACCUCUGGUGUUCGGGUUGUGUCGCCAGACGCAUUGCCCGGUAGCUAAGUUCGGAAUCGAUAACCGCUGAAAGCAUCUAAGCGGGAAGCGAGCCCUGAGAUGAGUCUUCCCUGAUACUUUAAGUAUCCU
rnacentral:rRNA from 1 species